GGGGGCUGGGUGGCCGCUGCGGCGGGGUUCCGCCGGAGAGGAAAGUCCGGACUCCACAAGACACAGGUGCCGGGUAACGCCCGGGCGGGGAAACCCGACGGAAAGCGCCACAGAAAAUAAACCGCCCGCCGUCCGCGGCGGGUAAGGGUGAAACGGUGGGGUAAAAGCCCACCGGGGGGCUGGCAACAGCACCCGCAUGGCAAGCCCCACCUGGAGCAAUGCCGAAUAGGGAUCCUGCGCGGGUCUGGAUCGGGCAACCGAUAUCGCCGCAGGCCGUCUUGGCCCAGGGAUCCGGGUAGGCAGCUUGACGGUAUCGGCAACGAUGCCGCUAGAUGAAUGGCCAUCCAAGGGGGCAACCCCUGGACAGAAUCCGGCUUAUAGGCCCCCC
rnacentral:RNase_P_RNA from 1 species